rnacentral:rRNA from 1 species
CGGGGUGCACCAGGCGCGAAAACUUUACAAUGCUGGAAACAGCGAUAAGGGGACCUCGAGUGCCAGGUUACAAAUCUGGCUGUCGUGAUGCCUAAAAAGCAUUGCAUAGCAAGGGCCGGGCAAGACCGGUGCCAGCCGCCGCGGUAACACCGGCGGCUCGAGUGGUAACCGUUAUUAUUGGGUCUAAAGGGUCUGUAGCCGGCCAGAUAAGUCUCUUGGGAAAUCCAGCAGCUCAACUGUUGGGCUUUCAGGAGAUACUGUCUGGCUCGAGGCCGGGAGAGGUGAGAGGUACUUCAGGGGUAGGGGUGAAAUCUUGUAAUCCUUGAAGGACCACCAGUGGCGAAGGCGUCUCACCAGAACGGACCUGACGGCAAGGGACGAAAGCUAGGGGCACGAACCGGAUUAGAUACCCGGGUAGUCCUAGCCGUAAACGAUACUCGCUAGGUGUCGGCCACGGUGCGACCGUUGUCGGUGCCGUAGGGAAGCCGUGAAGCGAGCCACCUGGGAAGUACGGCCGCAAGGCUGAAACUUAAAGGAAUUGGCGGGGGAGCACAAGGGCGAUUCGCG